rnacentral:RNase_P_RNA from 1 species
AAAGGCGGGGUAAGAGCCCACCGAUACCUCGGUAACGCGGUAUGCCAUGUAAACCCCACUCGGAGCAAGAUUGAAAUGGGAGCAUUUAAUGGCUGUCCGUCACGCUCCCCGUAAUCGCUUGAGUGUGCAGGUAACUGCACAUCCAGAUAGAUGGUCACAUAAACAGAACUCGGCUUACGGCUU